UGCAGUCGGACGGCCACCUUCGGGUGGCAGUGGCGGACGGCUGAGUAAGACGUGGGUGACCUGCCAUCUGGUGGGGGAUAACCCCCCGAAAGGGGGGCUAAGACCGCAUGAGGUCCUCGGUUCAUGCUGAGGAGGAAAGCCGCAAGGCGCCAGGUGAGGGGCCCGCGGCCGAUUAGCUAGCUGGUGGGGUAAUGGCCUACCAGGGCGACGAUCGGUAGCUGGUCUGAGAGGAUGGCCAGCCAGACUGGGACUGAGAGACGGCCCAGACUCCUGCGGGAGGCAGCAGUUAGGAAUUUUGGGCAAUGGGCGCAAGCCUGACCCAGCAACGCCGCGUGGGCGACGAAGCCCUUCGGGGUGUAAAGCCCUUUUCCAGGGGACGAUAGUGACGGUACCCUGGGAAUAAGCCCCGGCUAACUACGUGCCAGCAGCCGCGGUAAUACGUAGGGGGCGAGCGUUGUCCGGAUUCAUUGGGCGUAAAGCGCGCGCAGGCGGUUGUGAGAGCCCGGCGUGAAAGCCCCCAGCUCAACUGGGGGAGGCCGUCGGAGACCUCACGACUUGAGGCCGGUAGGGGAGAGCGGAAUUCCCGGUGUAGUGGUGGAAUGCGUAGAUAUCGGGAGGAACACCAGUGGCGAAGGCGGCUCUCUGGACCGGUUCUGACGCUCAGGCGCGAAAGCGUGGGGAGCGAUCCGGAUUAGAUAUCCCGGGUAGUCCACGCUGUAAACGAUGGGUGCUAGGUGUCGGGGGUAUCGACCCCUCCGGUGCCGUCGCUAACGCAAUAAGCACCCCGCCUGGGGACUACGGCCGCAAGGCUAAACUCAAAGGAAUUGACGGGGCCGCACAAGCAGCGGAGCGUGUGGUUUAAUUCGAUGCAACGCGAAGACCUUACUCGGACUGACAUGUAGGUGGUACCGAGGCGAAAGCUGAGGACCC
rnacentral:rRNA from 1 species